GCGGACGGGUGAGUAACGCGUGGAGAACCUGCCGUAUACUGGGGGAUAACACUUAGAAAUAGGUGCUAAUACCGCAUAAGCGCACAGCUUCGCAUGAAGCAGUGUGGAAAACAAAAAGCUAAAGCUUUUGGUGGUAUACGAUGGAUCCGCGUCUGAUUAGCUGGUUGGCGGGGUAAAGGCCCACCAAGGCGACGAUCAGUAGCCGGCCUGAGAGGGUGAACGGCCACAUUGGGACUGAGACACGGCCCAAACUCCUACGGGAGGCAGCAGUGGGGAAUAUUGCACAAUGGGGGAAACCCUGAUGCAGCGACGCCGCGUGAGUGAAGAAGUAUUUCGGUAUGUAAAGCUCUAUCAGCAGGGAAGAAAAUGACGGUACCUGACUAAGAAGCCCCGGCUAACUACGUGCCAGCAGCCGCGGUAAUACGUAGGGGGCAAGCGUUAUCCGGAUUUACUGGGUGUAAAGGGAGCGUAGACGGCAGCGCAAGUCUGGAGUGAAAUCCCAUGGCUUAACCAUGGAACUGCUUUGGAAACUGUGCAGCUGGAGUGCAGGAGAGGUAAGCGGAAUUCCUAGUGUAGCGGUGAAAUGCGUAGAUAUUAGGAGGAACACCAGUGGCGAAGGCGGCUUACUGGACUGUAACUGACGUUGAGGCUCGAAAGCGUGGGGAGCAAACAGGAUUAGAUACCCUGGUAGUCCACGCUGUAAACGAUGAUUACUAGGUGUUGGGGGACCAAGGUCCUUCGGUGCCGGCGCAAACGCAUUAAGUAAUCCACCU
rnacentral:rRNA from 1 species